rnacentral:rRNA from 1 species
CCCUUAGAUGUUCUGGGCCGCACGCGCGCUACACUGACGAAGUCAGCGAGCAUGUCCUACGCCGACAGGUGCGGGGAAUCUUGUCAAACUUCGUCGUGAUGGGGAUUGAUUAUUGAAAUUCUUGAUCAUCAACGAGGAAUUCCUAGUAAGCGCAAGUCAGCAGCUUGCGUUGAUUACGUCCCUGCCCUUUGUACACACCGCCCGUCGCUACUACCGAUUGAAUGGUUUAGUGAGAUCUUCGGAUUGGCGCCACUGCGGCUCAGCAAUGGGCUCGGUGGAUGCCGGAAAGUUGAUCAAACUUGAUCAUUUAGAGGAAGUAAAAGUCGUAACA